GAAAGACCCCGUGCACCUUUACUGUAGCUUUGCGCUGGCAUUCGUGUCGGCAUGUGUAGGAUAGGUGGUAGGCUUUGAAGCCAGGGCGCCAGCUCUGGUGGAGCCAUCCUUGAAAUACCACCCUUAUAGAUAUGGAUGUCUAACCGCGACCCGUUAUCCGGGUCCGGGACAUUGCAUGGUGGGCAGUUUGACUGGGGCGGUCGCCUCCUAAAGAGUAACGGAGGCUUGCAAAGGUACCCUCAGUACGGUUGGUAAUCGUACGUAGAGCGCAUUAGUAUAAGGGUGCUUGACUGUGAGGCACACAAGCCGAGCAGGGACGAAAGUCGGCUAAAGUGAUCCGGCGGUUCUGUAUGGAAGGGCCGUCGCUCAAAGGAUAAAAGGUACUCCGGGG
rnacentral:rRNA from 1 species